rnacentral:rRNA from 1 species
UACGUAGGGUGCGAGCGUUGUCCGGAAUUACUGGGCGUAAAGAGCUCGUAGGUGGUUUGUCGCGUUGUUCGUGAAAACCGGGGGCUUAACCUUCGGCGUGCGGGCGAUACGGGCAGACUGGAGUACUGCAGGGGAGACUGGAAUUCUUGGUGUAGCGGUGAAAUGCGUAGAUAUCAAGAGGAACACCUGCGGCGAAGGCGGGUUGCUGGGCCGACACUGACGCUGAGGCGCGAAAGCCAGGGGAGCGAACGGG